GACCAACUUAUCGAUUACUUUUGCCUUGUCUUAAUGAGCAUGUCAGAUGAAUUCCAGGUGGAAAUUUUGUUUUCGUUUAAUGCUAGUGAAAACAUGUGAAGAUAAUUGUUUUAUUAUAUUAAACUUACCCACCGAUCAUAUUAUGUUUUUAUAUUCGAACUAUAAGCGUUGACUGCCCAAAGAUAGCUCAUUGAUUACUUUUUUCUUCGAGCUUUUUUUGUUCUUGCAUUUUCCAUGUAAUUGGAAUUUAUUUUUUAGGGAAAUGGAAGCCGAAGAAAGUAAGGAAAUAAAUAAGGAUCCUAAGAAAUCUCAUGAGGAAGAAUUGUUAGAACUGGCCAAGAAGGAACUCCUUAGAGAAAUAAAAUGUGCAUCUUUAAGAGCUGAGCAGUUUGGUGCUCACAGUUGGGCAAAACCUCAACAUUAUGUACCAAGUAAAAGAUUCUUAAAACAUAUGUUAGUCAGUGCUUCCAAGGACAAUGACCGCAGAGAACAACAUACAUUAGAACGAAGAGAAAAAGCAAUAAAGCAUAACACAAACUCCUUUCGUAGAUAUUCAUCAUAUUCCAAAGAUGAAAGGAAAAAGAAACAUUCUCAUGUGGAAAAUGAAGUUGAGAACUAUAAAAGAAAAAAGCAUAAACAUAAAGAAAAAAAGCCAUCAAAGGAUAAGAAAAAAGACAAAGGGAAGUCUUAUUCCAAAUCUGUAAAACGGAAACUAUCUAAUGAAAGAUAAUUUCAUUGUAAAUUUUGUAUUAAAAUGUAUAAUAAACAAUCAAAAAACA